UACAGAGGGGGCAAGCGUUGUUCGGAAUUACUGGGCGUAAAGGGCGCGUAGGCGGCCUUCUAAGUCGAACGUGAAAUCCCCGGGCUCAACCCGGGAACUGCGUCCGAUACUGGAAGGCUUGAAUCCGGGAGAGGGAUGUGGAAUUCCAGGUGUAGCAGUGAAAUGCGUAGAGAUGUGGAGGAAUACCGAUGGCGAAGGCAGCCUCCUGGGCCAACACUGACGCUCAUGCACGAAAGCGUGGGGAGCAAACAGG
rnacentral:rRNA from 1 species